rnacentral:rRNA from 1 species
UACGUAGGGGGCAAGCGUUGUCCGGAUUUAUUGGGCGUAAAGAGCGCGUAGGCGGCCUGCCAGGUCUGCUGUGAAAACUCGAGGCUCAACCUCGAGAUGUCGGCGGAAACCGUCUGGCUAGAGUCCGGAAGAGGAGAGUGGAAUUCCUGGUGUAGCGGUGAAAUGCGCAGAUAUCAGGAAGAACACCGAUGGCGAAGGCAGCACUCUGGGACGGUACUGACGCUGAGACGCGAAAGCGUGGGGAGCGAACAGG